rnacentral:rRNA from 1 species
AAUGGGUCAGCGACUUAUAUUCUGUAGCAAGGUUAACCGAAUAGGGGAGCCGAAGGGAAACCGAGUCUUAACUGGGCGUUAAGUUGCAGGGUAUAGACCCGAAACCCGGUGAUCUAGCCAUGGGCAGGUUGAAGGUUGGGUAACACUAACUGGAGGACCGAACCGACUAAUGUUGAAAAAUUAGCGGAUGACUUGUGGCUGGGGGUGAAAGGCCAAUCAAACCGGGAGAUAGCUGGUUCUCCCCGAAAGCUAUUUAGGUAGCGCCUCGUGAAUUCAUCUCCGGGGGUAGAGCACUGUUUCGGCAAGGGGGUCAUCCCGACUUACCAACCCGAUGCAAACUGCGAAUACCGGAGAAUGUUAUCACGGGAGACACACGGCGGGUGCUAACGUCCGUCGUGAAGAGGGAAACAACCCAGACCGCCAGCUAAGGUCCCAAAGUCAUGGUUAAGUGGGAAACGAUGUGGGAAGGCCCAGACAGCCAGGAUGUUGGCUUAGAAGCAGCCAUCAUUUAAAGAAAGCGUAAUAGCUCACUGGUCGAGUCGGCCUGCGCGGAAGAUGUAACGGGGCUAAACCAUGCACCGAAGCUGCGGCAGCGACACUAUGUGUUGUUGGGUAGGGGAGCGUUCUGUAAGCCUGUGAA